GCAUAUCAAUAAGCGGAGGAAAAGAAACCAACAGGGAUUGCCUCAGUAACGGCGAGUGAAGCGGCAACAGCUCAAAUUUGAAAUCUGACCUCUUUGGGGUCCGAGUUGUAAUUUGUAGAGGAUGUUUCGGGGCACCGCUCCGGUUUAAAUUUCUUGGAACAGAAUGUCAAAGAGGGUGAGAACCCCGUCUUGGACCGGCAGUAGGGCCCAUGUGAAACUCCUUCGACGAGUCGAGUUGUUUGGGAAUGCAGCUCAAAAUGGGUGGUAAAUUUCAUCUAAAGCUAAAUAUUGGCCAGAGACCGAUAGCGCACAAGUAGAGUGAUCGAAAGAUGAAAAGCACUUUGAAAAGAGAGUUAAACAGUACGUGAAAUUGUUGAAAGGGAAGCGCUUGCAACCAGACUUGCGCGCGGCGGUUCCCCCUUCCUUUUGGUUGGGUUAUUCCGCCGUGUCCAGGCCAACAUCGGUUCUGGGGGUCGGUUAAAGGCCUGGGGAAUGUAUCUACCCUUCGGGCGUAGACUUAUAGCCCCGGGUGUCAUGCGACCUCCCGGGACCGAGGAACGCGCUUCGGCUCGGAUGUUGGCGUAAUGGUUGUCAGCGACCCGUCUUGAAACACGGACCAAGGAGUCUAACAUCUAUGCGAGUGUUUGGGUGUCAAACCCGGAACGCGGAAUGAAAGUGAACGGAGGUAGGAAGCUUCGGCUGCACUAUCGACCGAUCCUGAUGUCUUCGGAUGGAUUUGAGUAAGAGCAUAGCUGUUGGGACCCGAAAGAUGGUGAACUAUGCCUGAAUAGGGUGAAGCCAGAGGAAACUCUGGUGGAGGCUCGCAGCGGUUCUGACGUGCAAAUCGAUCGUCAAAUUUGGGUAUAGGGGCGAAAGACUAAUCGAACCAUC
rnacentral:rRNA from 1 species